rnacentral:sRNA from 1 species
GACCUCGGCUCCCGUGUUGCCAGGAUCCGACCUCUCCUAGUUGAAAACAGCCUCGUGUUCCCCUGGGCCGAGGGGCAGCUCCAGAGGACUGGCUGAGUGCUCCGCGGCACUGGGACCGUUGUGAAGAUCAGAUGGGACAUUGUACGCGAAGGCAUGCUGCGGACACUACAUGCCUGGGCAAGAGGGCACUUGUUUAAGCUUUGAUGCCGGGUCCAAAAAAAAAAAA